GCGCAAUAUUCGGGUGGGAGUGACCGGAUUUUCUAGGUGCAUCCGUCACCCCUUUCUUUGACUCAGAAAGGGAACUCCCUGACCCCUUGCGCUUCCCAAGUGAGGCAAUGCCUCGCCCUGCUUCGGCUCGCGCACGGUGCGUGCACCCACUGACCCGCACCCACUGUCUUGCACUCCCUAGUGAGAUGAACCCGGUACCUCAGAUGGAAAUGCAGAAAUCACCCAUCUUCUCCGUCGCUCACGCUGGGAGCUGUAGACCGGAGCUGUUUCUAUUCGGCCAUCUUGGCUCCUCAAGAAAAUUUUAAUAAUCUUUUCAUCCUGUCCUCUCUCCAGCCUCUCCUCUACUACCAAGAUGAUCAGUUGCUUCCAUUUGAAUCACUGUCAAGAAAGAAUGAAGCAGCCAAUUCUUUUGGAGGAAGUUGAUAGUCUCUUUUUGGGUGUCAGUUGGCCCACGGAAAAAUCCACCCAUAAAAAGUAAAUGUAAGCUCACUUUCUUAAAGAUUCUGUAGGUUGUAUAUUUGUUGGGCUUUUAAUCUGUUUCCAGCAUUUUCUACUAUAAAAAAUGAAGCUGUGAAUGUACUUUUUCUUGUAUCUUUAUGCAUAUGUAUAAGUUUCUCCACAUAAUAAUUUCCAAGAACUGAACUGCUGGGUCAAAUGGAAUGAAACGAUAUUGAUUUGACAAGACAAAUUGUCUUUUAAAGAGGUUAUUCUGACCCUGUAUGAAAGUAUGGGGAUUUUGAAUGCUCUUGAUGUAUACUAAAAUGAUGUAUACUAAAAUAGGUACAUUGUAGUACUUUACACACACAGAAUUUGUUCAUGAGUGUGUCUGUUUCAUCAUGUCCAUGCCAAAACUGGG
rnacentral:lncRNA from 10 species